GUGAGUGUGAGUGUGAGAGCGAGAACAGCCCGCAGGUCCCGAGGCGCUUGCUGGGGACUCUGCCGCGGAAAGUUCCCAGUCCCCAGCCGCAGCUGUGUGUCUGAAUGGAGACCUUCUCCAGAAACGUGGGUUACAGGCGUCUCCUAGCGGCGAAAGCGGCAUAAUGCAAGCGAGAUAAUUCUGUUGGUGGAGCCCGCCUUCCCUUCGGAAGGGCUUGCCUGUUGGGGGCUCUGCUGGAUUUCACAGGUCACAGAGGCUGGAGUCCAAGCCAGCAAUGCAAAGCCAGGCUCCUCCACAGGUCUGGCCUCGCUGGCUUUUAGUCUCUGAGGCGCCAGCACCUGGACCAAAGGGGGUGACAAUAGAGUCUUCGUAGUCAAAUAAAAGCGAUCCAGCCCCUCUGCUUUCCCUGAGAAAACUCCAUCCAAGGAAGAUUGCAAGAACAGUUUGUUCACAUCCAACAUUUGCAGCUACUCUGGAAAACAGGAAGCGAGCUCAACCCAUCCCAAGCCCAAACCACCAAGAUAUGUGAAAUUCAUACAGCAGAAAUAAUGAGAUUUUCUGAUAAGAGAUAUGGAAUGAAAAAUAGUUCUGCCCGGCAAUCAUUUCCAGAUCAUCCUUCUCACUGAACACUGCCGACCUUGGAGACUGCGGGACAUGCAGAAAAGCGUACUGAGGUCUUGCAAUUUUGGAAGUCUCCUUUGAAAUGAGACACAAAACUUAGAAGAUACUGGUUGGAAAGUCCUUGUCGUUCGUUUCUGCCACAGCUCUGGAGUUUCCAUUAAGGACUUGAUGAACCAGUUACGCCAUUGGGCCUUGUGGAUACACUUGAACCACGAGGAUUCCAGAGCACACAACUUUCUGGAUCUAUGAAAUGGUAACCACCAAAAGUCUUUUUGUGCUUCUAAAACAGAACACUGGCACAUGCAUGAUUCAGAAGGGAAGAUUUUUUGUUCACAACAUGAGAUUCUGGACAGACCAUUGUCAAAGUACCCACAUAUAAUGAGGACAUUUAUACUAUAUCUGAUGUUAGAAGGCUAAAUGGGAAGAAAAUGCAUGAAGGAUUAAGAGUUAGGGAAGUUGACUUCUCUUUAAAAAUAACUCAACAAUUCCCACGACAAAAGCUCUGAGUACAGAAGUCUUUGCUCGAGUUUAACCAUCUCUCACAUGUGCCUCAUGUCAACAAUCCUUCAUUGGUGAUUAAUAUCCAACACCUGAUUGCCAAAGGCAUAUUCAUGGUGCCAGCUUUCACUAAUUUGUCCUACUCAUUCAAGGAAAUGUAUUCACAGAAUGCCUCAUGUAGAGUUGAUUUUUUCUCAUUUUUCAAUAUCUCUUACAUCUCUGUUGUGGGUUUUCCACAUCAUUGUGUCAUUUAUAUAUGAAUUAACAUUAUCAUUAUUUUGAAAAUUUUGAGCUUGUAUGUAGUCUUUCCAAAAUUCCAAAUUGACUGAAUUUUGGGACCACUUACUUUUUAAAAUAAGUUAGUCAUCUUCAUUUUUACUUUUCUUUAUGUGUUUAGGCACAGAAACAUAAUUAAUUUGCAUUAUUUAAAGUGAAUUUGUGUUUGGAAUACACAUAUGACGAACUAUCUAAUUGCCACCUAACUCAAUUAAUAGAUUUUUUCCAUAUGCAAUUGUAAUUUUAUUUUUGAGUUUAUU